rnacentral:rRNA from 1 species
UACGUAGGGUGCAAGCGUUGUCCGGAAUUAUUGGGCGUAAAGAGCUCGUAGGCGGUUUGUCGCGUCUGCUGUGAAAACUCGGGGCUUAACUCCGGGCCUGCAGUGGGUACGGGCAGACUAGAGUGCGGUAGGGGAGACUGGAAUUCCUGGUGUAGCGGUGAAAUGCGCAGAUAUCAGGAGGAACACCGGUGGCGAAGGCGGGUCUCUGGGCCGUAACUGACGCUGAGGAGCGAAAGCGUGGGGAGCGUACAGG